CAGGCCUAACACAUGCAAGUCGAACGCGAAAGGGACUUCGGUCCUUAGUAGAGUGGCGCACGGGUGAGUAACGCGUGGGAACGUACCCUGGAGUGGGGAAUAACCAUUGGAAACGAUGGUUAAGACCGCAUAAUGUCUUCGGACCAAAGAUUUAUCGCUCUUGGAUCGGCCCGCGUUAGAUUAGUUUGUUGGUGGGGUAAUGGCCUACCAAGACUACGAUCUAUAGCUGGUUUGAGAGGACGACCAGCCACACUGGGACUGAGACACGGCCCAGACUCCUACGGGAGGCAGCAGUGGGGAAUAUUGGACAAUGGGCGCAAGCCUGAUCCAGCCAUGCCGCGUGAGUGAUGAAGGCCUUAGGGUUGUAAAGCUCUUUCAACGGUGAAGAUGAUGACGGUAACCGUAGAAGAAGCCCCGGCUAACUUCGUGCCAGCAGCCGCCGUAA
rnacentral:rRNA from 1 species